AACGUAGGAGACAAACGUUAUCCGGAGUUACUGGGCGUAAAGGGCGUGUAGGUGGUUGCGUAAGUCUGGCGUGAAAUAUCUCGGCUUAACCGAGGCAGGUCGUCGGAUACUGCGUAACUGGAGGACGGUAGAGGCGUGUGGAAUUCCGGGUGUAGUGGUGAAAUGCGUAGAGAUCCGGAGGAACACCAGUGGCGAAGGCGACACGCUGGGCCGUACCUGACACUGAUGCGCGACAGCAUGGGGAGCAAACAGG
rnacentral:rRNA from 2 species